rnacentral:SRP_RNA from 1 species
UAUUGGUCCUAUCGCAGUGUUGCCCAGCAAAUCCCGCCAGGCCCGGAAGGGAGCAACGGUAGUUGGUGUCAGCAUGUGCCGAUAUGUGGCUAGUUAGG